rnacentral:lncRNA from 1 species
UUGAAAGAUAUAUAUUUACUCAUGAGCCUAAGUUUUGGGUUGACUUGGUUGAGCAAAACUAUUUUUACUAUUAAUGGAUGAUGAUUUUUUCUUUAAAAAAAGUAAAUGUUGAAAUGGAUGUUAUUGUAUUGACUUAUAUUGUAUAAACUAAUACUGUAUUAGAAAGAAAUACAACUAAUUUUGUAGGUCCUCAAAUAACAAAGUAGAACUUAACCUGAAUGAAUUAUUUAAUCUCAUACAAAUGAAUAAAUAAAAUGACAUACAUUUACUGUUUAAAAUACAGUAUUUGACGAUUGAUAAGGAGAAUUGAUGCUUUAAUAAAUAAUGAGAGGUGAUUGAUGGCGACUACAAUGAGAUGUAACUAAUACAAAGAUAGAAGCUUUGAUGUCUUAUAGUAGAGGAGAUCAAAUUUUGUUUACAUUUGAGUACACAAAGAUGAACUAUUUUAUUUCCAGCUUCUUAUGUAUUUCUUUUUACUGAUAUAAAAGUUAAGUAUUUUUUUUUUCGAGUAAAGAAAUGGACAGGUUGUGCAUGAAAUGGACAAGUUGCUUCCUUUAUUUGAUGUAUAUUUAGUUAGCGACAUUUUGACUUUUCCUGACAACCUUUAUCAGCUGCUAAAAUUGGUUCAUUUAUUGUCUAAUUUUUAGUUGGAUUUAAAAGUAACUUUCAUUCAACAUUUUCUUUCUCUUCUUCUUAAUUGGAUGUAAAUGUGUAAUCAGAUAGUAUAUAACAUAGCCAGAGAUCUAGUAAGGACUUCUGAAAGGUAUAUAGUUGUUCAUACUUUUUCGUUCACUUGUUUAAGAAGAAUGGUUUUUAUCCAUGAAUUUUUUUAAAAAGGAAAAAGUAAAUGUUGAAAU